GCCUGGGUGGCUCAGUUGGUUAAGCGUCUGACUUCAGCUCAGGUCAUGAUCUCACAGUUUGUGGGUUCAAGCCCUGCGUUGGGCU
rnacentral:tRNA from 1 species